CGGAGGGUGCAAGCGUUAUCCGGAUUCACUGGGUUUAAAGGGAGCGUAGGUGGCUUUGUAAGUCAGUGGUGAAAUAUUGCGGCUCAACCGCAAAACUGCCAUUGAUACUGCUUAGCUUGAAUCACGUCGAGGUGGAUGGAAUAUUACAUGUAGCGGUGAAAUGCUUAGAUAUGUAAUAGAACACCGAUUGCGAAGGCAGUUCACUAGGCGUGUAUUGACACUGAGGCUCGAAAGCGUGGGGAUCAAACAGGAUUAGAUACCCUGGUAGUCCACGCCCUAAACGAUGUAAACUCGACAUUAGCGAUAUACUGUUAGUGUCCAAGCGAAAGCGUUAAGUUUACCACCUGGGAAGUACGACCGCAAGGUUG
rnacentral:rRNA from 1 species